rnacentral:rRNA from 1 species
GACUUGGAGGAACGGUCUGCCUUACGGUACGCACUGUUUGUCUGAGUCUUACCUCUUGGUGAGGCUGUAUGCUCUUUACUGAGUGUGCAGUGGAACCAGGAAUUUUACCUUGAGAAAAUUAGAGUGUUUAAAGCAGGCCUACGCUUGAAUACAUUAGCAUGGAAUAAUAGAAUAGGACUU